CUCCUGUCAGUGUUUUUCCUGCCAGGGCCUCUUGGCCCCUGUGGGGCAUGAAUGAGGGGCACCACAGGGCCAAGCUGGCAGCAGGCUCUGGGUUGGAAGUGGAGCAGGGAAGUGAGCAGGCACAUCUGCAGGUAGGUGCAGGUUGGGACUGAGGGGCACCGUUGGGCUGGGAGGGAUCCAGGAAAGUAGUAGGGGGAUGUAGCUCAAGAGUGAGGGGUGGCACAGGGCUGGGACAGCAGGGGUCCCUGAGUCAGGAGUGAGGGGCACCCUACUGUACCUGGGCAUGUCCUGGGCUGUGUAAAGCUUUGUGUGAGUGCGUUCCGCCAGUAUGGGAGCAGCCCAGCCCCAUGGUGCUAGGAAAGAAUUCCCACCUGCAGAGGGUGCUGCCUGGCGGAGCUGCAGGGCUGGCUGGGGAGAUGCAGAGAGGGCUGCAAUGUGGUAAAUGGAAGCAGAGGAGGCUUGUUCUUCUGGAGUUUCCCUGGUGCGGUGCUUGUGGUGCCGCUGACUGGCUCUGAAGCAGGGUUGGAGUUUGUGUCAGUGCGUGUGGCUGGGCUCAGGCUGUGACAUGGAGCAAAAGGUGGGGGUGGGGGGGUCGCUUUCUGUCACAGCAAGCACUGCCUGAGCACAGGGCUGUUGUGCAUGUGUGUGUGAUACAGACUCACAAGAGUGGCCUUAGGCUCAAUUUCCUUCCUGUCGCUUUCUGUUCCUGUCCCCUCUGGGCAAUAGAAAAUGGACCAGCCUCCUCCCUUGCCCAGCAAGCCCAGUGUGGGCAGGAAACACUGACUGUCACCCACCUGCUGGCCUCCUGGUUAGGGCCAGGAGCUGCUAUUGCUGAGCUCGGGUCUGAUGCUCCAUCAGAGAGUGAAACUUCUCAGCAAAGCUUUGUCCUGUGUCUCUCCCCUGCCAGGCAACAGGAAUUCUGGGGGCUUUCUCCACCCCUGCUCUUUCUUCCUGAUGCUGGGAAGGGCCUUGGGCAGCCUGUGCAAACUAGCCCUUCCCAGGGCCUCCCAGCAGAAGGUGGCAUGUGCCUGCUGGCAAGCUUCUAUUCCAAUGGGUCUGCCCAAAUCAUUGAGGGUAUCUCUACACUGAGGCACUGCUUUGGGAUACAGCCAGGUUAACUGCAAAUGUGGGGGUGCUGCAGCCACUCCUCCUGUUCCUGCAUCUACGCCUCCUUGCCCUGCUCCUGCCCCCAGAUCUAUCAGCGCAGCCUCCCUGUAAGGCAACACCUCCCCCGGCGUAGGGCACCAUACAUCUGAAUGACCAAGCCCUGCUCCCACAAUCCACUGGGCAUGGAGAUAGAAGCCAGAGACACUGGGGGAGGAAACUUAGGUUUUACAAGAGCAGGUAACUAUCCCCCCCACCUCAGAGCCAGGAUAACACCCCAGGGUGCAGGUUCUCAACUGCUUAGCAAGACCUACAGAACUACAUUCCUUGUUCAUAGCUGCAAAUAUACCCUUCCUGCACUAGUAUUUUUACAUACUGGGAUGCUCCCCUGUAGAGCCUUCCUCAGUUUGCUGAAUUUCCUGCUGCUGCAUGUUACAUUAAGAGUUAAUCUCUCUCCGCUCAAGUCUUCCCACAUUCCUAGGCUGCUCCUCACCCUUCCCCACCCCCACUUUCUUCCCCUCUCUCUUUGUUGUCCUCACUUUGAUACAUUGUUGGAAGUUGCAGUUUUCACAGAAACCUCCAAAAGCUAAGACAGUUGAAAACAGAAGGAAACAAGGAACAAAGAGAAAACAAGGCUGAAGAAUCACGUCCCCACUUUGCUCCAGAUUGUCCCAUCCUUCAGGUGACAGGGCAAGGAAAUGGCUGUGGUGGAGUCUGCUCGGAUGCCGGUGACCUUCGAGGAGGUGGCUGUGUAUUUCAC